rnacentral:lncRNA from 1 species
UACAUAGAAAAAAUACACAUGACUUUAUUGGCAAGGUUCAAUUAAUAUGAGACAAUGGAUUCAUAAUUCUUGCUAUUCAAAUCUUUGGAGAAAAGUUGUAGAAAUGUAUUAUUUUGUAAAAAUACAAUUACAAAAUUGGUCAUCUAACAAAACAUAAAAUAACAAUACUUCAAAAUAAACAAAUUAUCACAACUUAAGAUUCAAAGAGUCUUCGCUUAUCUGAAUCUUCCACUGACAAAAAAAAAUCAUUCAGUUAAAUAAAAAAAAAAAAUAUAUCUCUCCAGACUAAAUUAUUACAGAGUUUUUUUCUACCACUGAAGAAAAUAAACGCUAUGAAAAAUAAGUUGGUUUACAGUAAUUUGUCUUUUUCAUACUAGGGUUGUCUCAGUGAAACAUAGAUUACUUGUCUAAAAAUCACUAACAUUAUUGAUUGGCAAAAAGCUUGCAAUUCAUUAUCCUCACAAGUUAUUGCUUAUGUGCUUGCCAAAAAAUCACUGUCAUUUUUGCUUGGUACAAUGUAAAUAUCUUGUAAUUAAUUAUUCUCUCAAGUUAUUGCUUUUGUCAAAGCCGAUCAAAAUUUUCUUCCUUUGAAUAUGGUCUAAGUAUUUACCAUUAAAUUUGAUAUCAUAUAAUAGUUUUAACAUCAGCAUGAUGGCAUGCGCAUAUUCUGCAAUCUACCACAUAUGGAUUGUUGGGAAUUAUUCAAAAUACAGUUCUGAUAGAACAACAUGCCCCAUUUGCACAUUCCUGUCAUAUAAUUUGAAAAGAAAUUUACAAUUAACAAUGAACAAGUUUAUGUCCCCUAAACUUCAUGGUUAAAACUUAAUAUUCUUAGAAACCAUUAUUUCCCAAGCUCACAUUUCUAUGUUCGGUGAACCAUGUAACUGAGGUAAAAAGUGUGAUUUGGCAUAUCAUUUCAGAUGAAUAAAAUUGAGAAUGGAAAUGGAGAAUGUGUCAAUGCGACAACAACCCGACCAAAGAAAAGAUAACAGCUGAAGGCCACCAAUGGGUCUGGAAGUUCACAUUAUUAUACAAAAUUGUGUACUUAAGCUUUAAGUUGAUGUUACCACGACACCUUCAUUGCAAACUACCUUAACCAAAAACUAUAACCUGAUAUUGUACGGACUGACUAUUGCACAGAUCAGUAUACACAAUGCCCCCUACUAUCUUAGUCAGAGCAAAAAUUCAGGUUUAGGUGUUGGCUUGAAAGUUGUUUUGUAUCCAGUAUGAACCCUGUUAACUUAAUCAAAAUGUUUUCUGUAAUCUUCAUGAUAUUCUUUGAUGAACCCUACAAACAUAGCUAGCUGAUGAUGCUCAAAAACACUCUUCAGUAAGGAGGUAUCAAUGUGAAUCAACUAUUUCCCAUAGUUACUAUGCUUUUACUUUCAAAUGUACAUACUUAAUGGUACUGUAUAAAUAUUUCUUUUGAUUUAAGAGUGCCAUUUUAAAGCAACACUAUACAAGGAAAUGCUUUUUUGUUGGAGUAUUGUAAAUAGAAGUUGAGAGAAAUGAUAGAUAGCACCAUUUAGAACAUCGUAACAUAAAAGUUAUUUUGCUUUUUUAAUUGAGUAUUAUAUUAUAUUGAAUUUUAACAGAAAA